UCAAACACUGGAACGGUUGCCACGCGC
rnacentral:sRNA from 1 species